rnacentral:rRNA from 1 species
UAAGGAAUAUUGCGCAAUGGGCGAAAGCCUGACGCAGCGACGCCGCGUGGGGGAUGAAGGUCUUCGGAUUGUAAACCCCUUUCGGGAGGGAAGAUGGGAUAGGGUAACCUAUCCGGACGGUACCUCCAGAAGCAGCCACGGCUAACUUCGUGCCAGCAGCCGCGGUAAUACGAAGGUGGCAAGCGUUGUUCGGAUUUACUGGGCGUACAGGGAGCGUAGGCGGUUGGAUAAGCCCUCCGUGAAAUCUCCAGGCUUAACCUGGAAAGUGCAGAGGGGACUGUUCAGCUAGAGGAUGGGAGAGGAGCGCGGAAUUCCCGGUGUAGCGGUGAAAUGCGUAGAGAUCGGGAGGAAGGCCGGUGGCGAAGGCGGCGCUCUGGAACAUUUCUGACGCUGAGGCUCGAAAGCGUGGGGAGCAAACAGGAUUAGAUGCACCCAAUC